UGACCACCAUUUCAAAUGCCUUCACGGUGCAUGUUUUACAGCACAGCUGAAAGUUAUAAGACCAUGAUGAUCAUCCUUCUUGGAUGACUGACCUAUCAAUCAUUUUGGGAAAUGCAUCUUAGAAAAAUUUGGUUAUGAGACUGUCAGGUAGAUAUAAAGGGCCCAUAAGAAGAAUACUGGACAAAGAGGUGAAAGAGAGAGAGAGAGAAGCCUAGUCCAACUCCACUUCUUCCAGCAAUUCCAGCUGAGCAAGGAUAAUAUAAA
rnacentral:lncRNA from 10 species